rnacentral:snRNA from 1 species
UACUCUGGUUUCUCUUCAGGUCGUAUAAAUCUUUCGCCUUUUACUAAAGAUUUCCGUGGAGAGGAACAAAAAAAAAAAAAAAAAGAAUGUAUAUUGCAUACUUGUUGGAUGA